AAAUAAUAGUGUUCCUGCAGGGAUGUCUGAAGUACUCUGCAAGGCUAAUUAGGACAGAUCAAUGUACACUUACCUCUCCAGAAGGCUGAAAGAUACAGACUGAAAUGUUACCAGAUAAAAUGAUGUCAUGUCUGGGAUUCGCUUCAAAAUAAUUUGAGGUGGAAGUGGAAAGUGGAAACAACAAUUAUGAAACAACCUGGCCCAUGAGAUGAUAGCUGUUGAAGGUAGGUAUAGUUAUACAAAAUUUCAUUAUACUUUUCCCUCUACUUUUCUAAUAUAUUCUGAAUUUUCAUAACAAAAAGUUAAAUACACUUAAAAGUAGACAAAUACAUACUAAUUUGAGGUGGUGGUUAAG
rnacentral:lncRNA from 10 species